rnacentral:rRNA from 1 species
CUCAACUCGGGACGUGCAUGCGAUACUGUCCGGCCAGAGACAGGCAGGGGCGAGCGGAAUUCCCGGUGGAGCGGUGGAAUGCGUAGAUAUCGGGAGGAACACCCGUGGCGGAGGCGGCUCGCUGGGCCUGGUCUGACGCUGCAGCGCGAAAGCGUGGGUAGCAAACAGGAUUAGAUACCCUGGUAGUCCACGCCGUAAACUCUGGGCACCAGGCAUUGGGAGGAAUAGGCCUCUCAGUGCCGCAGUUAACGCAUUAAGUGCCCCGCCUGGGGAGUACGGCCGCAAGGCUGAAACUCAAAGGAAUUGACGGGGGCCCGCACAACCGGUGGAGCAUGUGGUUUAAUUCGAAGCAACGCGAAGAACCUUACCAGGCCUUGACCUAGCGGUGGUAGGACCCUGGAAACAGGGGCCGACCCUUCGGGGAGCC